rnacentral:rRNA from 1 species
AACCUCCGCAAUGUGAGAAAUCGCGACGGGGGGAUCCCAAGUGCCAUUCCUAACGGGAUGGCUUUUCAUUAGUGUAAAGAGCUUUUGGAAUAAGAGCUGGGCAAGACCGGUGCCAGCCGCCGCGGUAACACCGGCAGCUCUAGUGGUAACAAUUUUUAUUGGGCCUAAAGCGUCCGUAGCCGGUUUAAUAAGUCUCUGGUGAAAUCCUGUAGCUUAACUGUGGGAAUUGCUGGAGAUACUAUUAGACUUGAGACCGGGAGAGGUUAGAGGUACUCCCAGGGUAGAGGUGAAAUUCUGUAAUCCUGGGAGGACCGCCUGUUGCGAAGGCGUCUAACUGGAACGGUUCUGACGGUGAGGGACGAAAGUUAGGGGCGCGAACCGGAUUAGAUACCCGGGUAGUCCUAACUGUAAACGAUGCGGACUUGGUGUUGGGGUGGCUUUGAGCUGCUCCAGUGCCGAAGGGAAGCUGUUAAGUCCGCCGCCUGGGAAGUACGGUCGCAAGACUGAAACUUAAAGGAAGU